GCCGGGCGGGCCAUGGCAGGGGCCGCAGCUGGCGGCAGAGGCGGAGGUGCCUGGGGGCCGGGGCGUGGAGGGUCGGGGGUGCUCCGACGGGGUUGCUCUCCCCCAGCCCCCGCCGGCUCCCCCCGGGCUGGGCUGCAGCCGCUCAGGGCCACGAUCCCCUUCCAGCUGCAGCAGCCGCACCAACGCCGGGACGGGGGUGGCCGUGCAGCCAGCGUUCCACGCUCGGUGGCCCCAGAAAAGUCAGUGUCUAGGCCUCAGCCACUUCAGGUCCGGCGUACAUUCUCCCUGGACACCAUCCUCAGCUCCUACCUUCCGGGCCAGUGGCCACGAGAUGCUGAUGGGGCCUUCACCUGCUGCACCAAUGACAAGGCCACCCAGACACCCCUGUCCUGGCAAGAGCUAGAAGGUGAGCGUGCCAGCUCCUGUGCACACAAGCGCUCGGCAUCCUGGGGCAGCACAGACCACCGAAAACAGAUUUCCAAGUUGAAGCAACAACUGCAGAGGACAAAAGCUGAGCCGCAGUGGGAAAGAGAAGGAGCGAGGUUCCCUACUCCCAGGGGACCACGCAGUGCGGGGAGCACUGAGGGCGUCCCCUCCCAGCUUCCCCUCAGGGUCCCCUGUCUUGCGACUCAGCCCCUGCCUGCACAGGAGCCUGGAAGGGCUCAACCAAGAGCUGGAGGAGGUGUUUGUGAAGGAGCAGGGAGAAGAGGAGCUGCUGAGGAUCCUUGAGAUCCCUGAUGGGAACCGGGCCCCAGCUCCUCCCCAGAGUGGCAGCUGUGAUCAUCCCCUCCUCCUCCUGGAGCCUGGCAACCUUGCCAGCUCUCCUUCCAUGUCCUUGGCAUCCCCCCAGCCUUGUGGCCCGGCCAGUCAUGAGGAACACCGGGGUGCCGCCGAGGAGCUGGCAUCCACCCCCAACGACAAAGCCUCCUCUCCAGGCCACCCAGCCUUUCUUGAAGAUGGCAGCCCAUCUCCUGUCCUUGCCUUUGCUGCCUCCCCUCGGCCUAAUCAUAGCUACGUCUUCAAACGGGAGCCCCCAGGAGGCUGUGAGAAAGUGCGUGUGUUUGAAGAAGCCACGUCCCCAGGUCCUGACCUGGCCUUCCUGACUUCCUGUCCUGACAAGAACAAAGUCCAUUUCAACCCGACCGGCUCAGCCUUCUGCCCCGUCAACCUGAUGAAGCCCCUCUUCCCCGGCAUAGGCUUCAUCUUCCGUAACUGCCCCUCAAACCCGGGGUCUCCCCUUCCCCCGGCCAGCCCCAGGCCACCACCUCGGAAGGAUCCGGAGGCCUCCGAGGCCUCCCCACUGCCCUUCGAGCCAUGGCAGCGCACCCCACCAUCAGAAGAGUCUGUGCUUUUCCAGAGCUCCCUGAUGGUCUGAGGGUCCCAUCCCUGUCCCACUUUACCAUAGAGACCAGUGCCUUGGUGGCAGGUCCCUCCCCGGGUCCCCUGAGAUGGGGUAUGGAGGGGCCCUUCCCUCUCGGCCUUUGAGCACUUUCUUUCACUUAUCGUGUCAAAGUCCUGGGUCCUCUUUUUGAUGGGCACUGGCCCCUCUGAACGUGAUGGGACCUGCCUUCUCCACUGGCAGCUGGGCAGCUCACAACUCACACCUGUGUACCUGCCACAUCCCUCACUUGGGGGAAAACACCCAGAAGGUCUGGAGUCCCUCACCCCUGGGUGUCAGUCCAAAUGACUGUAUAGGAGGCCCUUAUUUUUGUCACAGAGCAAGCUGGCCAUGAAUGAAGGAGAGAGGACGCCACAGAUUUCCUUCCCUCCCUUCCAGGAGACCAUAAGAUAGAUCCCCCAUCCUCUCAGCCCUAUCCCCAUGCCUCCCUCUCAUUAGAGGAGCUGACCAAAGCAGUCCUAAUGGGCCUUAACACUUGACCAAUUCAGCUGCUGGCAGAAGGAGGAAACAAGUGUUUUCCCAAGUGGCAUUUUCAUCUCGCUUUCACCCUGACUAAAGAUUGUCUUAAGUAGCAGGCCAGCCCGCCCAGCCCCAGGUGGGUAGUGGGGAGGAGAGCUGGCAUUCCUCCAGGUGGCAAAUGGCAAAUCUAUACUCUCCGCCUGCCCCAGGGCUGGAUUGGAUUAGAAAAAUGCCUAUUUUUCUUGUAUCGAUGUAGAAAUUCUAUUUUCUCCCAAAGACACUAUUUUUGCAGCUGUUUGAAGUUUGUAUAUUUUCCGUACUGCAGAGUUUACACAAAAUUGAAGAAUGUUAAUGUUCGAGUUUUCUUAUCUUGUGUUUAGAGGUUGUUUUUUGCAGAUCGUGGUGUUAAUAGACCAAAUAAAUAAAUAAAUAUUCCCAGCAAAAAAAAAAGAAAAAAAAAAGAAAACUAACUUGACUUCUCAGAACCACACAUUCCCUGUUCGAAAAUUGGAAGUGUUGUGAGGAUAAAAUGAAAUAAUGUCUGGAAGCACUUGGCACACUGCCUAGUGCAUCCUGUGAAUUCAAGAAAAGGCAUUUACCAAAACCGAGGAGGCUAUUAGUGUUGUUACCAUCUCUAAUUGUCCAUUAACAAAAUAGACACUGUAUAUAAAAAUUUUAAUCUAGUAUAGCAAAGCCCUGGUCCAUCUUUACCAACCUCACCACCACUUCAGACACACCAGAGGGCUGCUCAUCCAUUGCCUUCAAAAUCGCAUCAAAUAGGCUAUUCAGUACAUUCAUGCACAAAAUCAACUUUAAAUCUCUAAAAAGUAUGGCGGAGUCUAGCAGACCUCCUAUUAUAUAAGUUAUUAAAGUCUGAUCUGCCAAAGACCACUGGAGGCAAGCCAGUACUCUGACAAACUCAGAUUUAUCAAUGUAGAUGCAGCAAGGGAGGGCACAACCAAGCAAACACAGAAUGCUACUCAGCAGGUAGGAGGAGGGAAGCAUCUUUUCUAAAGUUUGUCUUCUGUGAAAGAUUCUGAGGAAGAUCUAAGGGAAGCAGGGACAAGUUCUACAUUGGUUGCUGUUUCUUGGGGCAAGACUAGGAAAAACAAGGAUUAACUAGGGACUGGGCGCUGUUAUGAGGCAAGGUUGGUUUAGCAAUUGGAUGUCUCCGGUAAUGGAUGGGCAAAGUGGAUCUGUAUAUUGGGUAUAAAGGGAACUCUCUGUGAUAUCUCUGCAACUUUUCUGUAAGUCUAAAUAGUCAUAAUAGUCCUUUAAAUAUUAUUAUUUUAACCCUAAAACUCUUCACCAAAGGAAAUUGCCACCUCACCACUCUGCUCACUGGUCCUCUGGUCUCACAUUGAGUUACCAAGGAACCCCACUGGGCAGAACACUCCUGGUGUGGUUUGAAAUCCUCAGUUUGGGCCGUCUCCCGAGUCACCCUUUCCAGAAGCAGAUUGUACUGUUGGCUCAUAUUGUACUUGUGGAAAACUAAGAUCCCUGAAGUUUAUCCUAUCUAAACUGGUAAUAAGUCAACUGUCCUUUUAACCUUCCUCUCCGAACUGUACUCAUGUAGCCUGUUCUUUAAGCCAAGCCUAGAGCGUUACUGUUAAUGUUUGUCCCGUAAAGUUCCUCCUCUGUCAGUGCUAUGACAUAGUAGAAGAGGACUAAGAAUCAGAAAUUACAGGUGCAAAUUCUAGUUCUCUAACCAGUUGCAUAACUUUAAACAGGCCACUCUAUUCCUCUGGGUGUCAUUUCUUUGUAAAAUAAGCAUGUUGUCACUAGACAGUCUCGAAGAUUUCUCCCAGCCCUAACAUCCUGUCAUCUCUCCUCAUGCUUCAAUCACACUAGGAGUCAGACUAUUGCACUAGACUUUUAUCUUUAUUUUAUCUGCAUUUUGUCUUUAUUUUGCUGACGAAUAAAAUGAUUCCGGUGUGCCAAUUAAAUUGACCAAUAUAUAGCUAGAGGAUUCUAGCAAGCACUUUCAGGGUCUAAACUCUCUUUUCCCUACACACAACAGCCUCCCCUUAACCUUGUUGGGUCCUCCUGCAUCCUCCAUCUCUCCUUUCCCCCUGCACACAAAGCUAUCAAAAAUCUUCUUAGCCUGCAAAAACAUUUUCCGCCCCCAUACAACCUUCAUUAGCUACUCCAUCCUGUUCCUUCUCAUGCAACUUCUCAAAGGGGCUAUCUGUACCCCUGUUUGCAUAUUAUCAUUUACUUAUUUCUUCAUCCCCUGAAAAUCAGAUUUAUUUUCCUACGUGCUUCUAAAACUGGUUUCUCAACCGGUAAACCUAGGGGCCUUGUCUCCAUCAUUAUCUUCAUUGACCUACCUGAUACUGCAUCUCUGACUCUAUUUCCUUCUGCCCAGAGUUUCUCUGAGGCUUCAUUUGAACUCUUCUCUUUUUUAGAAAGCUUCAACUAUCAUCUCUAUACAAAUGCCUCCCAAGUCUUCCUAACUAGCUCUGAAUUUCAUUCAUAAGUGACAGGAUCAUUUUACUGGGAUACUAACUUUGGCCUCUCCCUGCAUUUUCCUCUUCUGCUAUUUCAAACAGGCAGCUGAGCCCUUAGAGAUUCCUUAUGUCAGGGCAUUUUUGCUUUAUGGAAAUCUGAAGGCUCUUUAGCUCUCUGCUCAGCUUCUAGCCUCAUUUGCUAAUACAACCUACUAGGUAGAAAUUCUGUCCAACUGGCUAUGGGCAGAGCUGUGGUAGUCGUUGUUCAGGAGUACUACUACUAACUAAAUGGCUAUAAAGCAGGUAAUAGGCCAGAGUGAUAUUUAGCAGUAGGUUAGAGCAUUAACAGGCAUUUUGCCAAUAUCUCAUAAAAGUACAGAAAUGUUCUCUUUUCAGCCAGAGGAAGAACAAGCGAUAAAGUUUAAGAGGAGGUCUGGUUACCUAGAUGUGUAAAUAAAUAUAGUUUGUUUUAAAGCCGAGAACAUUUUUUAAAAUCCUUAUCCAUUUACAUGUCAUGGAAACAGUCAAAACAAUCCAUAUGACAACUUUUUAGUGCAAACAAGAAUUUGCUGUAGAGAUUGCUGAAACAAAACAGAAACACACCAAGAAUAAAGUGAGAAGACAGCUAAACUGAGCACUCAACACACUAAAAAAAGGAAGAAGAAUCUCUCUUCAUUGAAAGAUGUAUUUAUGAACACUAAUUAAAUGUCUUUCAAUGUUUUGUGAAACAGAUGGGAACUUUAUUUGUUGUAAGGAUUUAGAGAUAAUGUAGAAUUGAAGAGCAAAGCUUAAAAACCCGGAAAUCCCACCACCAUCACUUAUUCUGCCCCCCAAAAUUAAUAUUCAAUUAAAAAACUAAAUUUAGUCACAUCUUUUUAAAAGACCACAUUAUUUAUUAGUAUGAUAAAAGCUGAAAAUUAAAAUAUUUCUGUAGUUUUUAGACUACAUUCUGAGGUUCGUCCCAUUUAUAUUUUCUAAAACAGUGAUGCUUGUGGAAAGACAGUAAUUUUGAAAUUGGUACCACGUGUUGCAAUGUAACAGCCUUUCUAUUGAGUUAGGUCACUUAUGGAUUAUUUAAGGACAGUUUUAUUUUCUAUUUCUUCUUGAAUUCGUUUUUCCUAUGAAAGCAUGUCCAUGGUAACAGUUCAACAUUGAUGAAGAAUUCCCAAAGCCACCUUGCUGGGUUGGAAAUCUUACUGCCUGAGAUGGGCCUGGUUUUUCAGUCAUGGGGGUUCAUUUCAGAACAUCAAUUUGAGGGAAGGAUGUUAUGUAUACGAAAAUAUUUUUAAACUAAUCAAAUAACAUCUGACUCUGAGAGAAAAUUACAAAAUAUGGCUCUAACCAUCCUGGGGAGAGAAAAAGUGUGAGAGGUGUUAAAUUCAGAUUAGGAAUGUGUCAUGUAUUCAGGAAGACAAACUAAGAAAGGGGACAGGAGGGAACAUUAAAGAGUACAAGUUGUCCUUCAUCUCUAUUUUUCCCCUUAUGAAAGGAAAAUAAAAUAUUGGGACCCCAAACUCACUAUGCCAAAAAGAAAAGUUAAGCUCGGAAACUGAGUCAUGCAAAAACAGCUGUCUCUCCUUUUGUUCCUAAACAGCUACAAGAUAGAAGUCCACAUAUCUUCACAGGGGGCCUCCCUCACCAGACAAAUGUAAACUGACAGCUUAUCUUCAUGGGUGUGGGACAAGAGGAGACUAGAAAUAGCCCCUCCACCCACCUUGAGAUGAAUGCUUAUUGGACAUCUUCCUCUACUCUGUUUACUUUAUCUUAUGUCAAAUAUAGACCUACUGAGUAUAAGAUGAAUACAUAAUUAAAAACUCCUCUACCCGCUCCUCUUCCCAUGCAACAUAUGGAUUCAGUGAGUGCUACUCAAAGCCUCAAAAGAAUGUAACCGCUUGUCUCAUUUGUCUCUUUUUUUUCUCCUUAUCCUCCUGCCUGCUUUUUCCCCUUUAAGUAUUAAAGCCCUCAAAAUUCUCUUUGGAAAAAGUACAGGCCAAAGUGGCUUGUGUCUUCUUUCCUUGGAUGCAUCCUCAACCUUGGCAAAAUAAACCUCUAAACUGAUUGAGAACUAUCUUAGACACUUUUUUAGUUUACACCCUUCUAAUAGUAAUUUUUUUUUCAGCUACACACCUGACCACUUUCAAUAAGCACUAAAUUUCCAACAAGUUAGAUGUGGCUCUGUGAUCUUUAACCCAAUGGGAUAUAAGUAGAAGUUCCUGUAACAGUUUUCAGAAGAUUUCCUAAAGGAACAAUUGGUAUUAGCCGUUGGCCCCUUCUUACUUCUUCCUCCAUCCGGCUGCUUGGAUACAGAUGUGAUGGCCUGAUCUCCAUCUCGAACUACGAAGACAAGGACCUUAGGGAAGGCAGAAUAAAGGCCAGAGAAGAACUCAGUCCUUGAGGACUUUGAGAAGCAUUGCUACCAUCCAGCCUUAGAUUACUACGUUACUUUCCUAGGGUUGCCAUAACAAAUUACCACAAACUGGCCAGGUGCAGCAGCUUACGCCUAUAAUC